rnacentral:rRNA from 1 species
AGAGUUUGAUCAUGGCUCAGGAUGAACGCUGGCGGCGUGCUUAAUACAUGCAAGUCGAACGGAGACAGUAGCAAUAUUGUCUUAGUGGCGAACGGGUGAGUAACGCGUUGGUGACCUGCCUCGAAGAGAGGGAUAACAGUUCGAAAGGAUUGUUAAUACCUCAUGUGGUUGCUUGGGUUAGAGACCUUGCAACUAAACGGAUUUAUUCGCUUCGAGAGGGGCCUGCGUCCCAUCAGCUAGUUGGUAGGGUAAUGGCCUACCAAGGCGAUGACGGGUAGGGGACCUGAGAGGGUGGCCCCCCACAAUGGAACUGAAACACGGUCCAUACACCUACGGGUGGCAGCAGUAGGGAAUAUUGGUUAAUCUGGGAAACCGGGAACCAGCAACGCCGCGUGCGCGAUGAAGGCCUUCGGGUUGUAAAGCGCUUUUAGAGAGGAUGAGGAAGGACAGUACUCUCUGAAUAAGCCUCGGCUAACUACGUGCCAGCAGCCGCGGUAAUA